rnacentral:rRNA from 1 species
GGAAAAGAAACCAACAGGGAUUGCCUCAGUAACGGCGAGUGAAGCGGCAACAGCUCAAAUUUGAAAUCUGGAGUCUUCGGCUUCCGAGUUGUAAUUUGAAGAGGAUGUUUCGGUGCGACCUGGGCCUAAGUUCCUUGGAACAGGACGUCAUGGAGGGUGAGAAUCCCGUACAUGGCUGCAGGUUUGCUUCUAUGUGAAACUCCUUCGAAGAGUCGAGUUGUUUGGGAAUGCAGCUCAAAAUGGGUGGUAAAUUUCAUCUAAAGCUAAAUAUUGGCGGGAGACCGAUAGCGCACAAGUAGAGUGAUCGAAAGAUGAAAAGCACUUUGAAAAGAGAGUUAAACAGUACGUGAAAUUGUUGAAAGGGAAGCGCUUGCAAUCAGACUCGCCUUCAGCUGAUCAACCUUCCUUCUGGUUGGUGCACUCUGCUGUUGGCGGGCCAGCAUCAGUUGGGGCGGCGGGAUAAAGGCGGCAGGAAUGUGGCUCGUUUCGGCGAGUGUUAUAGCCUGCUGUGUCAUGCCGCCAGCCCCGACUGAGGUCCGCGGUUCGCCUAGGAUGCUGGCUUAAUGGUUGUAAGCGACCCGUCUUGAAACACGGACCAAGGAGUCUAACAUCUAUGCGAGUCUUUGGGUGUAAAACCCAUGGGCGAAAUGAAAGUGAACGGAGGUGGGAGUCUUCGGAUGCACCAUCGACCGAUCCUGAUGUUCUCGGAUGGAUUUGAGUAUGAGCAUAGCUGUUGGGACCCGAAAGAUGGUGAACUAUGCCUGAAUAGGGUGAAGCCAGAGGAAACUCUGGUGGAGGCUCGCAGCGGUUCUGACGUGCAAAUCGAUCGUCAAAUUUGGGUAUAGGGGCGAAAGACUAAUCGAACCAUCUAGUAGCUGGUUCCUAAA